rnacentral:rRNA from 1 species
GGGUUGUGAGGUUAAGCGAAUAAGCGUACACGGUGGAUGCCUAGGCAAUCAGAGGCGAUGAAGGACGUGCUAAUCUGCGAAAAGCGUCGGUAAGGUGAUAUGAACCGUUAUACCCGACGAUAUCCGAAUGGGGAAACCCAGUAUCCAAUGGAUACUAUCAUUAACUGAAUCCAUAGGUUAAUGAGGCGAACCGGGAGAACUGAAACAUCUCAGUACCCCGAGGAAAAGAAAUCAACCGAGAUUCCCCUAGUAGCGGCGAGCGAACGGGGAGCAGCCCAGAGUCUUAAUCAAUAGCAGUGUCAGGAGAACGGUCUGGAAAGUCCGGCAGUAAAGGGUGAUAGCCCCGUAUCUGAAGAUGCUGUUAUUGUGAACUCGACGAGUAGGGCGGGACACGUGUUAUCCUGUCUGAAUAUGGGGGGACCAUCCUCCAAGGCUAAAUACUCCUGAUUGACCGAUAGUGAACCAGUACCGUGAGGGAAAGGCGAAAAGAACCCCGGCGAGGGGAGUGAAAAAGAACCUGAAACCGUGUACGUACAAGCAGUAGGAGCCAAAGAAUGGGGUGACUGCGUACCUUUUGUAUAAUGGGUCAGCGACUUAUAUUCUGUAGCAAGGUUAACCGUAUAGGGGAGCCGUAGGGAAACCGAGUCUUAACUGGGCGAAUGAGUUGCAGGGUAUAGACCCGAAACCCGGUGAUCUAUCCAUGGGCAGGUUGAAGGUUGGGUAACACUAACUGGAGGACCGAACCGACUAAUGUUGAAAAAUUAGCGGAUGACUUGUGGAUGGGGGUGAAAGGCCAAUCAAACCGGGAGAUAGCUGGUUCUCCCCGAAAGCUAUUUAGGUAGCGCCUCGUGAACUCAUCUUCGGGGGUAGAGCACUGUUUCGACUAGGGGGUCAUCCCGACUUACCAACUCGAUGCAAACUGCGAAUACCGAAGAAUGUUAUCACGGGAGACACACGGCGGGUGCUAACGUCCGUCGUGAAGAGGGAAACAACCCAGACCGCCAGCUAAGGUCCCAAAGUCAUGGUUAAGUGGGAAACGAAGUGGGAAGGCUCAGACAGCCAGGAUGUUGGCUUAGAAGCAGCCAUCAUUUAAAGAAAGCGUAAUAGCUCACUGGUCGAGUCGGCCCGCGCGGAAGAUGUAACGGGGCUAAACCAUGCACCGAAGCUGCGGCAGCGAACUAUGUGGUUGUUGGGUAGGGGAGCGUUCUGUAAGCCUGCGAAGGUGUACUGUGAGGUAUGCUGGAGGUAUCAGAAGUGCGAAUGCUGACAUAAGUAACGAUAAUGCGGGUGAAAAACCCGCACGCCGGAAGACCAAGGGUUCCUGUCCAACGUUAAUCGGGGCAGGGUGAGUCGACCCCUAAGGCGAGGCUGAAAAGCGUAGUCGAUGGGAAACGGGUUAAUAUUCCCGUACUGGUGGUAACUGCGAUGGGGGAACGGAGAAGGCUAGGUUGUCCGGGCGACGGUCGUCCCGGUUCAAGCAGGUAGGCAGAGUGAUUAGGCAAAUCCGGUCACUUAAUGCUGAGAUGUGAUGACGAACCACCAAGGUGGUGAAGCAAUUGAUGCCCCGCUUCCAGGAAAAGCCUCUAAGCUUCAGGUUACCAACAAUCGUACCCCAAACCGACACAGGUGGUCAGGUAGAGAAUACUCAGGCGCUUGAGAGAACUCGGGUGAAGGAACUAGGCAAAAUGGUGCCGUAACUUCGGGAGAAGGCACGCUGGCGGUAGGUAAAGUCCCUCGCGGACGGCGCUGAAGCCAGUCGAAGAUACCAGCUGGCUGCAACUGUUUAUUAAAAACACAGCACUGUGCAAACACGAAAGUGGACGUAUACGGUGUGACGCCUGCCCGGUGCUGGAAGGUUAAUUGAUGGGGUCAGCCGUAAGGCGAAGCUCCUGAUCGAAGCCCCAGUAAACGGCGGCCGUAACUAUAACGGUCCUAAGGUAGCGAAAUUCCUUGUCGGGUAAGUUCCGACCUGCACGAAUGGCGUAAUGAUGGCCAGGCUGUCUCCACCCGAGACUCAGUGAAAUUGAACUCGCUGUGAAGAUGCAGUGUACCCGCGGCAAGACGGAAAGACCCCGUGAACCUUUACUAUAGCUUGACACUGAACAUUGAGCCUUGAUGUGUAGGAUAGGUGGGAGGCUUUGAAGUGUGGACGCCAGUCUGCAUGGAGCCAACCUUGAAAUACCACCCUUUAACGUUUGAUGUUCUAACCUAGGCCCAUAAACUGGGUCGGGGACCGUGUCUGGUGGGUAGUUUGACUGGGGCGGUCUCCUCCUAAAGAGUAACGGAGGAGCACGAAGGUUGGCUAAGCAUGGUCGGACAUCAUGCGGUUAGUGCAAAGGCAUAAGCCAGCUUGACUGCGAGAGUGACGGCUCGAGCAGGUACGAAAGUAGGUCUUAGUGAUCCGGUGGUUCUGAAUGGAAGGGCCAUCGCUCAACGGAUAAAAGGUACUCCGGGGAUAACAGGCUGAUACCGCCCAAGAGUUCAUAUCGACGGCGGUGUUUGGCACCUCGAUGUCGGCUCAUCACAUCCUGGGGCUGAAGUAGGUCCCAAGGGUAUGGCUGUUCGCCAUUUAAAGUGGUACGCGAGCUGGGUUUAGAACGUCGUGAGACAGUUCGGUCCCUAUCUGCCGUGGGCGUUGGAAGAUUGAGAGGGGUUGCUCCUAGUACGAGAGGACCGGAGUGAACGCACCACUGGUGUUCGGGUUGUCAUGCCAAUGGCAUUGCCCGGUAGCUAAGUGCGGAAGAGAUAACCGCUGAAAGCAUCUAAGCGGGAAACUUGCCUCGAGAUGAGUCUUCCCUGUCACUUUAAGUGACCUAAAGGAACGUUUAAGACUAAGACGUUGAUAGGCUGGGUGUGUAAGCGUAGCGAUACGUUGAGCUAACCAGUACUAAUGAACCGUGAGGCUUAACCUGACAACACCG